rnacentral:rRNA from 1 species
UACGUAGGGGCCUAGCGUUGUCCGGAUUUAUUGGGCGUAAAGAGCUUGUAGGCGGUUUGUCGCGUCUGCUGUGAAAUUUCGGGGCUCAACCCCGAACUCUGCAGUGGGUACGGGGCAGACUAGAGUGUGGUAGGGGAGACUGGAAUUCCUGGUGUAGCGGUGAAAUGCGCAGAUAUCAGGAAGAACACCCGUGGCUAAGGCGGCUCUCUAGUACGGUACUGACGCUGAGACGCGAAAGCGUGGGGAGCGAACAGG